ACAGCUGGAGUGGUCUUUCAGCAGGGCUCCGGUCCCAGCGGUCCCAGCACACAGCUGCUACCAGAGGCAGUCUUUCAUGGAUACAGGUCAUUCAAAUGACCUACCUACCAUCCUCCUACAGACCAGGAGGAGUCUCUGAGCCGGUCUACAGUGGAGCGGAUUGGGUCAGACAUCCUGGUUAAACAACAACAACAACAACAACAACAACAAGAACAUCAUCAUCAUCAUCAGCAUCAUCAUCAAGCAGCAGCAGCAGCCGCAUCAGCACCAGCAGCAGCAGCAGCAGCAGAAAAAGAUGACCAGGAACUGUUUAGCCUACAGUCAGCUGAAGUCGUAGAUGGAGUCAGAGGAGAGGGCGAACAGGAAGUCAGCAGUGCAGCUUCCAACAGGUCGCCUGUGGAGGUUCUGUCAUCAACCCCUAAAGCAGGGCCCUGGCAGCCCUCACAUACUGUACAUGACAGCUUCCCCGGGGUACCAGGGAAAUACAUCUACUGCCCCUCCAGAGUGUUCUCCCCCUACAAGGCACAGGGCAUGGGGAAGGAGAUGACCUGGGGGGAGUUCAAACUGUCGGACUUCUAUGAGGCUGAGAGACACAAAGAUUCAAAGAGAAGACAAACAAAUGGA